UUUCGACCAUUUUGGGUGUUGGAGCUUUCUCUGAGCUCUGCAGACUAAGCUGUGGCACCACUUGAGCAUUUGUGACCAUUUUACCUCUUCCUCCCACAUGACAUGCGCAUCUGAGGCUUUGGGGACAUUAAAACUGUAAGAAAGA